rnacentral:rRNA from 1 species
GAGUCGCGCGAGAAUGUAGCAAUACAGGAAAGCGGCGAAAGGGAGAGGACAACAUGGGAAUCUGCCCGGGGGACGAGGAUAGCGUCGGGAAACUGACGGUAAUACUCGAUAAUGUUUGCGGACCAAAGGUGAGAUUCCGCCCCUGGAUGAGCCCAUGCCCCAUUAGCUUGUUGGCGGUGUAAUAGACCACCAAGGCGAUGAUGGGUAGCUGGUGUGAGAGCACGACCAGCCUCACUGGCACUGAGACACUGGCCAGACACCUACGGGUGGCUGCAGUCGAGAAUCUUCGGCAAUGGACGAAAGUCUGACCGAGCGACGCCGCGUGCGGGACGAAGGCCUUCGGGUUGUAAACCGCUGUCGUAGAGGAUCAAAGGUAAUUGGGUUCUCCCUUUUAUUUGA